CCCUCUGCCCCUCCGCCCCUCCGCCUGUCCGCCUCUCUCCUUCUCCCUUGUUCCCUCUCUCCCUCCCUGCUCCCCCACCUCCCUCCCGAGUCGUAGACUCCCUUCCCCCCGGCGCUGGGAGUCUCCUUCCCGCCCCGCCGCGCAGGUGCGGCGACGGCCGCGUCACUGGAGAGUGUGUCGAGUCACAGGCGGUCUUCCGCGCGGAGCGUCCCCGGCGGACGCUGCGCAGAUGGCUGCGACUGUAGGAUUCUUGCCGGCUAGUCUUCGUCGGUUCCGCCUGCGUCAGGUUACUCGUGAAAACUCGAAUAAGUGCUAUCGAUGUGAAAUCCGAGGAAAAGAGCAUUUGGGGGAAAAGUUAAAAGGACUUCUGACUCAAACUCCUCCUCUUGAGUUUGCAGUUUGCCACUUCCAGCCUGGCGACUAGGUGCUGAUUAAGACUUGGAAAGAAGACAAGCUCCACCCAAGCUGAGAAGGUCCCUGUCAAGUGCUGCUGACCCCUGAGAUGGCCAUAUGUACAGCUGAAUGGGGGUGGACUCACUAUACUUGUCAAGGGACUGGUAAAAGAGACCCUGGAAGGGUGGGAAAAAGACCAGUGGAAAGUACAUGGGUCACCUGAGGAACCCUUAAAAUUAACUCUGAGAUGAAUCUAAAAAGAAAACAUGGGCUGGUCCCAUUUCUGGAAAUUAAUAUGGCUGGGAUGGGCUACUAUGCAAAGAGAAGAAGGUCAAAGUAGAAACUAUCAGGGGACUCCUCCCUACCCACUCAGGUUGGUAAUUAAUGUAAACAAGAUGGUGGCACCCAAGACUAUAAGAUUUGAUGACUGCCAAGGUUUUUACCUUGUAAGAAUUUGGAAAAUCAGAGACAGCUCUCACAUGUGGAUAAAUAUCCACUUCAUAUGAGGUGCUUGGAAUAGUCAAAUUAGAGGUUUCUAGGGGCUAGGGAGAAAAUAAAUGGGGAGUUAUUGUUUAAUAGGUACAGAGUUUCUCUUUCAAAGAAUGAAAAGUUCUGUAAAUGGAUAGUGGUGAUGAUUGCACAACAGUGUGUACUUAAUGCCACCGAACUGUACACUUAAGAAUGGUAAAUUUUAGGUUAUAUUUUACCACAAUAAAAAAUUAAAAUCAACAGUAAAGAAAUCAAUCCAAUUAAAAAUGGGCAAAAGAUUUCAAGACACAUUUCAAUGAAGAGGAUUUACAUAUGGCAAACAAAUGGAAAGUUGUUUAACAUUUCUAGCUAAUAGGGAAAUGCAAAUUAAGACCAUGAGAUAUUAUAACACAUUUAUUAGAGAACCACUAAAAUAAAAAAUGGUGACAACAUUAAUGCUGGCAAAGAUGCAGACAAACUGAUUUCUCAUACAUUGCAAGUGGAAAUGCAAAAUGGUUUAACCACUCUGGAGAAUUGUUUGGAAGUUUCUUAAAAAUUAAACAUGCAGCUAUCAUAUGAUCAAACUGUUGAACUACUAGGUAUUUAUUCCAGAGAAAUGAAAACUUAUGUUCACACAAAUACAUAUACACAAAUGUCCAAAGCAGCUUUAUCUGCAAUAGCCAACAACCAAAAACAAUCAAAAUUGUCAUCAGUAGGUGAAUGGCUAAACAAACUAUGGUCAUCAGUAUGCUGAAUGGCUAAACAAACUGUGGUACAUUCUUACUGUGGAAUAUUACUUAGCAAUAAAAAGAAAGAAACUAUUGAUGGACACAACUUGGAUGGAUUUCAAGGGCAUUUUUAUGCCAAGUGAAGAAAACUAAUCUCAAAAGUCACAUACUAUGUGAUUCCAUUUGUACGACAUUCUCAAUAUGAGGAAAUUUUAGAGAUGAAGAACAGAUUAGUGGUUGCCAAGGGCUAGGUAUAGAUGGGAGAGGCAGAGGGAUGAGUAGAACUUUUAAUAAAGGGGUAGAAUGAGGGUAAUUCUUGUGGUGAUAGAAUAGUUCUGUACCUUGAUUGCGACUGUUGCAUGACUCCAUGUGUGGUAAAGUGGCAUGGAAUUAUACAUAUGUUGUAUCAAUAUCAAUUUCCUGAUUGUGAUAUUAUGCUAUAGUUAUGUAAGAGGUAACAUUGAGGUAUAACUGAGUGAAGAGUACAGAGGAUUUCUCUGUAUUAUCUUUGCAACUUCGUGUGACUGUAUAAUGAUUUCAAAAUUAAAAAGUUUAAAACAUUUAA
rnacentral:lncRNA from 1 species